AGUGAACGCUGGCGGUAGGCCUAACACAUGCAAGUCGAACGGCAGCACAGUAAGAGCUUGCUCUUACGGGUGGCGGGUGGCGGACGGGUGAGGAAUACAUCGGAAUCUACUUUUUCGUGGGGGAUAACGUAGGGAAACUUACGCUAAUACCGCAUACGACCUACGGGUGAAAGCAGGGGAUCUUCGGACCUUGCGCGAUUGAAUGAGCCGAUGUCGGAUUAGCUAGUUGGCGGGGUAAAGGCCCACCAAGGCGACGAUCCGUAGCUGGUCUGAGAGGAUGCUCAGCCACACUGGAACUGGGCCACGGUCCGGCCUCCUACGGGAGGCCGCAGUGGGGAAUAUUGGACAAUGGGCGCAAGCCUGAUCCAGCCAUCCCGCGUGGGUGAAGAAGGCCUUCGGGUUGUAAAGCCCUUUUGUUGGGAAAGAAAAGCAGCAGGUUAAUACCCCGCUGUUCUGACGGUACCCAAAGAAUAAGCACCGGCUAACUUCGUG
rnacentral:rRNA from 1 species